GAUGACUCCUAACAAUCACCACAUCAUGUGCUAUGAUUUAAGCCCAGAUAUCACAAUCAGCUAUUCUACAAACGGGAUGGAUCAUUUGAAAGAAUACUCUUGGAUUGUUUAUGUGGCAGCAGCGAUCAUCACUGCUUUUCACAUAGGCUGAGCUGCAAGAAGAACUCUUGUAAAAUGUGGUUUUUCCUUAUAAAAAUGAAGGAGAAACGUAAAAAAUCAGUAAGCAACAGCUAUCAAUUUUGCGGCCUAUCUAAUCUAAAGAGAAUACAGAUUGCAAUGAAUGAGCUUUAACAUUUUUACAUGUUGGUUCUGUGAUAGGAUAUGUGGAACUAAAAUAAAUUUAGAGCAACU